rnacentral:rRNA from 1 species
GAUGAACGCUGGCGGCGUGCCUAAUACAUGCAAGUCGAGCGAACAGACCAGGAGCUUGCUCCUCUGACGUUAGCCGCGGACGGGUGAGUAACGCGUGGAUAACCUCCCUAUAAGACUGGGAUAAUUUCGGGAAACCGGAUCUAAUACCGUAUAAUAUAUUGAACCGUAGUGUUCAAUAGUGAAAGACGGUUUUGCUGUCACUUAUAGAUGGUUCCGCGCUGAUUUAGCUAGUUGGUGAGGUAACGGCUUACCAAGGGGACGAUGCGUUGCCGACCUGAGAGGGGGGUCGGCCACAUUGGAGCUGAGACACGGUCCAGAGUCCUACGGUAGGGAGCAGUAGGGAAUCUGACGCAAUGGGGGAAAGCCUGACGGAGCGGCGCCGAGUGAGUGAUGGAGGUGUUCGGAGCGUAAUAAUCUGUUAUUAGGGAAGAACAACUGUGUAAGUUAAUAUGGCCGUCUUGACGGUAACUAAUCAGAAAGCAACGGCUAACUACGUG